rnacentral:rRNA from 1 species
UACGAAGGGGGCUAGCGUUGCUCGGAAUCACUGGGCGUAAAGCGCACGUAGGCGGAUUGCUAAGUCAGGGGUGAAAUCCUGGAGCUCAACUCCAGAACUGCCUUUGAUACUGGCGACCUUGAGUCCGGGAGAGGUGAGUGGAACUGCGAGUGUAGAGGUGAAAUUCGUAGAUAUUCGCAAGAUCACCAGUGGCGAAGGCGGCUCACUGGCCCGGUACUGACGCUGAGGUGCGAAAGCGUGGGGAGCAAACAGG